rnacentral:misc_RNA from 1 species
GUUUGAUACUGCUGAGCCUUCUGUUUCUUUUAGGAAAGCAAGUUUUCUCUGAGCAGAAUCAGCAGUUUUCUAGUGCCAAUAAUGACCUGAGCUGGUGGCAUUUGGAUGAAGUUUUUAUUCUUGUGGUAAUUGUUAUUGUUGUCAUAAGCAUGGGGUCCAGUUCUCUGGUGGAGGAAGAACAGUACAUAUGGCAUUUCAUGACAUCCUCGCUUUAUUUGUUAUCUCUCCGGAAA